GCAUAAGACGUAUUACAGCACAGCGUUAUAUUUUACGUUUACGUCACUGAUGUUAACAGGAUUCGGAAACGUGUCACCAAAUACCAAUGGAAUUGACAUGGCGGUUUGUUUGUACAGACGUUCUGUGAAUCAAGUAGUUUACCGGUGAUGACAUUCGGGGAUUUCCGUGAGAUUACGUAAUUCUCCGUGUGUGAUAUCGGAAUCCUUCUGUCAUGAUAGGUAAAGAUGAUAUAUUUGGUGGUGACUGCAGUGACGUGGAAUGCUCGGGAAAAUCGUUCUAUUUUGUACGUGCCCUUAGUUACUGUGAUAUUGACAAGAUAGAGUUACACGUGCUGAAAGAAACAAUGGAUAUAUAACCAGAAUUUUCAAAAAGAAUGAAUGGGUAAAAUACAAGUGACAUUCAAUCUUAAGCUCGACGAAUGGGACCACAGAUCGGAGAAGAUGAGCCGACGUCUGGAGCAUUCAAAUUUUCUCCGCUACCAGCAAGUAGUGGUAUAGAUACGGCGUUCAAAGACAGAUCAGUCAAGACUACUGGGUGAUGAACAGUUGACGUUCAGAAAGAGAAUGUUUCAUUUUCUUCAUCAAAUUCCAGCCGGUACGUCAACGCCACAGUGUGUUUUCGGUGUAUCUAUAUAAGGUCAUUCUUGGAAACAUCAGACAGUUGAGCGCCCUCUGGUAGCCGGCGCAUUACCAGCUUUGAGCGCCCUCUGAUAGUCGGCGCAUUUCCUGGAAGCUGGUGAUACAGCGCCAUCUGGAAAAAAAUGAGACAGACGUCGCUGUCUAACCUCGAGGAAAUCGACUGCAAGUGAAACUAUUUAGCAAAGUAUACGAAUAUAAAAUGGAUUUUUAAGAUCUGCAUGUUCCUUGUUGAAGAAAUUUCAUGUAACAUGGUGCUGCCUUCCAGCCGCAUUGAAAUUAUAAAUAUGAGAUUAGUAUUUUGUAUUUUCACAUCCUAAAUGAAAUUCAGCAGCGUUAAAGACACGCCUCAAAAUAACUGUCUUUUUUUUUUAUUUCAGUGAUGGUAAACAUACCUAAUUUGCAUGAAACAUAUUAGAUAUACAAGAAUUUAGUUUCAAAUUGACAGUGACAUAUAUUAAGCCAAGACGAUGAGUUAAAUGUCUUAAUAUUUUAUUGUAUUAAUGUAGCAAUAUGUACAUAAGUCAGUGUAUUUAGUUAAAUUUCAAUCACAUUUUGUUUCUACAGUGUAAGGUAGAUAAUCAUCUGUAUUCUUAG